rnacentral:rRNA from 1 species
CGCCGAUCCUCCAUUAGAGAGGGCUACCACGUGCUACAAUGGACCGUACAAAGAGCUGCGAGACCGCGAGAUGAAGCUAAUCUCAUAAAACCGUUCUCAGUUCGGAUUGUAGUCUGCAACUCGACUACAUGAAGCUGGAAUCGCUAGUAAUCGCGGAUCAGCAUGCCGCGGUGAAUACGUUCCCGGGCCUUGUACACACCGCCCGUCACACCACGAGAGUUUGUAACACCCGAAGUCGGUGGGGUAACCUUUUUGGAGCCAGCCGCCAAAGUGGGAACAGAGGAUUGGGGUGAAGCCGUAACAGGUUAGCCGUAUCGAAAGGUGCGGUUGGAUCACCUCU